UACAGAGGUCUCAAGCGUUUGUUCGGAUUCAUUGGGCGUAAAGGGUGCGUAGGCGGCGCGGUAAGUCGGGUGUGAAAUCUCGGAGCUCAACUCCGAAACUGCAUUCGAUACUGCCGUGCUUGAGGACUGGAGAGGAGACUGGAAUUUACGGUGUAGCGGUGAAAUGCGUAGAUAUCGAGAGGAACACCUGCGGCGAAGGCGGGUUGCUGGGCUGACACUGACGCUGAUGCGCGAAAGCCAGGGGAGCGAACGGG
rnacentral:rRNA from 1 species